rnacentral:rRNA from 1 species
AUUGAACGCUGGCGGCAUGCCUUACACAUGCAAGUCGAACGGCAGCACGGGUGCUUGCACCUGGUGGCGAGUGGCGAACGGGUGAGUAAUACAUCGGAACGUACCUUAUCGUGGGGGAUAACGCAGCGAAAGCUGUGCUAAUACCGCAUACGCCCUGAGGGGGAAAGCGGGGGAUCGCAAGACCUCGCGCGAUUAGAGCGGCCGAUAUCGGAUUAGCUAGUUGGUGGGGUAAAGGCCCACCAAGGCGACGAUCCGUAGCUGGUUUGAGAGGACGACCAGCCACACUGGGACUGAGACACGGCCCAGACUCCUACGGGAGGCAGCAGUGGGGAAUUUUGGACAAUGGGGGCAACCCUGAUCCAGCCAUCCCGCGUGUGCGAUGAAGGCCUUCGGGUUGUAAAGCACUUUUGGCAGGAAAGAAAUCGCAUGGGUUAAUACCCUGUGUGGAUGACGGUACCUGCAGAAUAAGCACCGGCUAACUACGUGCCAGCCGCCGCCGUAA